AUUGAACGCUGGCGGCAGGCCUAACACAUGCAAGUCGAACGAGUGGCGGACGGGUGAGUAAUGUCUGGGAAACUGCCUGAUGGAGGGGGAUAACUACUGGAAACGGUAGCUAAUACGGCAUACCAUCAGAUGUGCCCAGAUGGGAUUAGCUUGUUGGUGGGGUAACGGCUCACCAAGGCGACGAUCCCUAGCUGGUCUGAGAGGAGGACCAUCCACACUGUAACUGAGUCACGGUCCAGACUCCUACGGUAGGCAGCAGUGGGGAAUAUUGCACAAUGGCCGCUAGUCUGCUGCCGCCCUGCCGCGUGUAUGAAGAAGGCCUUCGGGUUGUAAAGUACUUUCAGCGGUGAGGCGUUACCCUCAGAAGAAGCCCCGGCUGCCUCCGUGCCAGCAGCCGCGGUAAUUC
rnacentral:rRNA from 1 species